rnacentral:rRNA from 1 species
CCUACGGGUGGCAGCAGUGGGGAAUAUUGCACAAUGGGGGAAACCCUGAUGCAGCGACGCCGCGUGAGUGAAGAAGUAUUUCGGUAUGUAAAGCUCUAUCAGCAGGGAAGAAAAUGACGGUACCUGAUUAAGAAGCCCCGGCUAACUACGUGCCAGCAGCCGCGGUAAUACGUAGGGGGCAAGCGUUAUCCGGAUUUACUGGGUGGAAAGGGAGCGUAGACGGCAGCACAAGUCUGGAGUGAAAUGCCGGGGCUUAACCCCGGAACUGCUUUGGAAACUGUGCAGCUAGAGUGCAGGAGAGGUAAGGGGAAUUCCGAGUGUAGAGGGGAAAUGCGGAGAUAUUAGGGGGAACACCAGUGGCGAAGACGGCUUACUGGACUGUAACUGACGUUGAGGCUCGAAAGCGUGGGGAGCAAACAGGAUUAGAUACCCUUGUAGUC